GUUAGGAAUAUUGGACAAUGGGCGAAAGCCUGAUCCAGCCAUGCCGCGUGAACGAUGAAGGCCUUCGGGUUGUAAAGUUCUUUAGCCGAUGAUUAUAAUGACUGUAGUCGGAAAAUAAGCCCCGGCUAACUUCGUGCCAGCAGCCGCGGUAAUAUGAAGGGGGCGAGCGUUAUUCGGAAUCACUGGGCGUAAAGCGUGCGUAGGCGGUUUUGUAAGUUAGGAGUGAAAGCCCAGGGCUCAACCUUGGAAUUGCUCUUAAAACUGCAAGGCUCGAAUCUCGGAGAGGAUAGCGGAAUUUCCAGUGUAGCAGUGAAAUGCGUAGAUAUUGGAAGGAACACCAGUGGCGUAAGCGGCUAUCUGGACGAGUAUUGACGCUGAGGCACGAAAGCGUGGGGAUCAAACAGGAUUAGAAACCCGAGUAGUCC
rnacentral:rRNA from 1 species